GGUAGACCUGAUCCGAGGUCAGGUUCCAUGGACAGGGUAGACCUGAUCCGAGGUCAGGUUCCAUGGACAGGGUAGACCUGAUCCGAGGUCAGGUUCCAUGGACAGGGUAGACCUGAUCCGAGGUCAGGUUCCAUGGACAGGGUAGACCUGAUCCGAGGUCAGGUUCCAUGGACAGGGUAGACCUGAUCCGAGGUCAGGUUCCAUGGACAGGGUAGACCUGAUCCUAGGUCAGGUUCCAUGGACAGGGUAGACCUGAUCCUAGGUCAGGUUCCAUGGACAGGGUAGACCUGAUCCUAGGUCAGGUUCCAUGGACAGGGUAGACCUGAUCCUAGGUCAGGUUCCAUGGACAGGGUAGACCUGAUCCUAGGUCAGGUUCCAUGGACAGGGUAGACCUGAUCCUAGGUCAGGUUCCAUGGACAGGGUAGACCUGAUCCUAGGUCAGGUUCCAUGGACAGGGUAGACCUGAUCCGAGGUCAGGUUCCAUGGACAGGGUAGACCUGAUCCGAGGUCAGGUUCCAUGGACAGGGUAGACCUGAUCCGAGGUCAGGUUCCAUGGACAGGGUAGACCUGAUCCGAGGUCAGGUUCCAUGGACAGGGUAGACCUGAUCCGAGGUCAGGUUCCAUGGACAGGGUAGACCUGAUCCGAGGUCAGGUUCCAUGGACAGGGUAGACCUGAUCCGAGGUCAGGU